rnacentral:rRNA from 1 species
UGGGGAAUAUUGCACAAUGGGCGAAAGCCUGAUGCAGCGACGCCGCGUGAGGGAUGACGGCCUUCGGGUUGUAAACCUCUUUCAGCAGGGAAGAAGCGAAAGUGACGGUACCUGCAGAAGAAGCGCCGGCUAACUACGUGCCAGCAGCCGCGGUAAUACGUAGGGCGCAAGCGUUGUCCGGAAUUAUUGGGCGUAAAGAGCUCGUAGGCGGUUAGUCGCGUCUGCUGUGAAAACUCGAGGCUCAACCUCGGGCUUGCAGUGGGUACGGGCUGACUAGAGUGCGGUAGGGGUGACUGGAAUUCCUGGUGUAGCGGUGGAAUGCGCAGAUAUCAGGAGGAACACCGAUGGCGAAGGCAGGUCACUGGGCCGCAACUGACGCUGAGGAGCGAAAGCAUGGGGAGCGAACAGGAUUAGAUACCCUGGUAGUCCAUGCCGUAAACGUUGGGCACUAGGUGUGGGGUCCAUUCCACGGAUUUCGUGCCGCAGCAAACGCAUUAAGUGCCCCGCCUGGGGAGUACGGCCGCAAGGCUAAAACUCAAAGGAA